CUAAGGCGAGGCUGAAAAGCGUAGUCGAUGGGAAACGGGUUAAAAUUCCCGUACUUUUGUGUAGUGCGAUGUGGGGACGGAGAAGGUUAGGUCAUCAGACUGUUGGAAUAGUCUGUUUAAGCCGGUAGGCUGGGGUGGUAGGCAAAUCCGCCGCCCCUUAAGGCCGAGACGUGAUGACGAGGGUCUACGGACCUGAAGUGACUGAUACCACGCUUCCAGGAAAAGCCACUAAGCUUCAGCUACACAAGAACCGUACCGCAAACCGACACAGGUGGGCAGGAUGAGAAUUCUAAGGCGCUUGAGAGAACUCAGGAGAAGGAACUCGGCAAAUUGAUACCGUAACUUCGGGAGAAGGUAUGCCUGUUGUGGUGUAGACCCUUGCGGUCGAAGCUAUGACAGGUCGCAGAGAAUCGGUGGCUGCGACUGUUUAACAAAAACACAGCACUGUGCCAACACGAAAGUGGACGUAUACGGUGUGACGCCUGCCCGGU
rnacentral:rRNA from 1 species